rnacentral:lncRNA from 1 species
CGGAGCUUGGCUCUCCCAUAUGCUGUGCCAUUUUCUGUCUAACAUUCUCCCCCAGCCUUGGGGCCCAUCAUGGUCCUGAGGCCCUUUCUCCUAAUAAACUGCAUUGCUGAAGGGUGGUUAUGUGUCAGCUUCCUUUCCUGGACCAACCACUGCCUCGUUAUCAUGAAAAUAUCUAAUCCAUUCAUUACCCCACCAUUUCUGCAACUUGAACACUGUAUGUUCUACAUUCAUUCAUUCUUUCUUUCUAUACCCCAAAUCUGUCAGCCUGAACGCCAUCUGUGUCCUUCCCAACCCUUACUUUCUAACAGGUACCACAUCCUAACAGUACUUCCUACCCCUUCUCCUGUGUCCCACAUCUGUCCCCAUCCUCUCUGUCUCUCUAGCAUCCUGACUCCAGCCUCUGCCUACUUCUAGCGUGAUGCUUCUUGCUCCACAGGUUUGUGCUGCUUCCUUGUGUAGAAAGCUCCCUGGUGCCUCUUCUCCAUGAGGAUAAACGUGAUCGAUAGAGCUCUCCCACAACCUCCCCUCCCUGUCCCUCUCUUCCACACAGCUCCACACCCGCCCUUCACUCAGGUACCCCACAGUACUCACACCCAACACCUUGCAGUUGCUUGGACUUUGCAGUUCCGUGGUAUGCUGGCUUCGUCACCUCAUGUCCUUUCUCCUGCCUGUACACUGUACUUGCCAAGACAGUUUAGGCUUCCUACCUCUCACGCAAGAUGGUCAUCAGUUCACACCAGUCUCCUGAUAGCCCGCCAAAGCCUAUGAUCAUGCAGCUCUUGUGGUUUUAUGCUGUCAGUGACUUAUAGCUGUUCCCACAUGGUUACACGCACCAGGGGGCCUGCCACGCUGUCUCAGGGUUAGGGGACUACCUGGGUGAUGGCCAUAUAGGUUCUUCACGAGUGUGGUGUUGGCCCAUUCGAAGAACCCUCUGAAGCCCAGGACAGGCGAAAAGCCUUGACUGAAGCUGCGUUCCAGAUGUCGGUGGAAGUGGGUCUCACAUCCCAGGCUGGCAUUGAACUUGCUACACCGAUGAUACUAGCCAUAAAUUCCUGAUCCUCC